AGACUUAAAAUCUGUUGAUCAAUUGGUCGUGAGGGUUCAAGUCCCUCUACCCCC
rnacentral:tRNA from 18 species